rnacentral:tRNA from 1 species
GUCGUUGUAAUAUAGUGGUGAGUAUUCCAGCCUGUUGACCCGGGUUCGAUCCCCAGCAGUGGCG